rnacentral:misc_RNA from 1 species
GUAUUGUAUUGCGUUAAACGCGGCAAACAUUCCAUGAGACUUUAUGGCAGUGUGUGUGUGUGUAAAUACGUAGAACCACAGCAAGGGGGGACAAACCCACCCAGGCCAUAGAGCUACGGAGGGUGCACAGGUGUGGGUGGAUGUGUAAACAGAGCGUGCACAUGCCCCUGGUUUGGGGACCAGCAACAACUCGUGUUGACAGUUCGGUAAUGAUCCUUCCGCAGGUUCACCUACGGAAA